GGGUUUUGAAGCGACUCUGGAAACAAAAUACAUUCUGCUGCAUCUGGAAAUAGUUAAUGCAAGCUGAACGAUUUUGCAGGAGUUAUACUAAGCAACUAUGAUCAUAUUGUCUUUCAGAGCAUGGAUUUGAACAAUUUUUCUGGCAAAGGUCUCCAAAACAGACAUUAAAGCAGCCCUGCAUGAUCAGCGACCAUCUGGAGUUGUCGAGGAAUGAAGCAAUACAGUAUUGCUAUGAAGAACCAUCACAGUUACUCUCAUCUUGGUGGCACCAUGCCCCAAGAACAGGAAUCCCUGUAUAUUUCUGGAAUCCAACAUUGAGAUGUAGCCCACUGCUAUUCUCUACAGCUUUGAAAUAAAUGAAGAUUCAUUUAAAA